UACGAAGGGUGCAAGCGUUACUCGGAAUUACUGGGCGUAAAGCGUGCGUAGGUGGUUUGUUAAGUCUGUUGUGAAAGCCCCGGGCUCAACCUGGGAAUGGCAAUGGAUACUGGCAAGCUAGAGUGCGGUAGAGGGUAGUGGAAUUCCCGGUGUAGCGGUGAAAUGCGUAGAGAUCGGGAGGAACACCAGUGGCGAAGGCGGCUACCUGGACCAAGCACUGACACUGAGGCACGAAAGCGUGGGGAGCAAACAGGA
rnacentral:rRNA from 1 species